CACAAGUUCAUCUUAUGGAUGCUUUUCAAUACAUCUACUUCCCGUUGUGCAAAUGUGGAGGGCCGGUAAGUUCUACUACCAGUCUACGCCAAGUUCAGGGGCAUUGCCACUAAUGAAAAGGACAAUGAAUAAACGACGUCGGAUCAUAGGUCGAAGGAGGCCGGGUCAAGGCACCAUGACUGGAGCGCCCUGGCCGAUCACAGCCACCACCGCAGGCCGUUCAACGCCACCUCCGCAGGCGGUUCAUCGCAAAAACAGCGACCUGGAUCCCGCUAGUUCCCACCAGCAACACCCA